rnacentral:lncRNA from 1 species
AUAGCUACUUUUUUUGUAUUACAUUAGAUAUAAUUAAUGAGUAUUUAUACAGUGUAUAUUUAUACAAUAUUCCCAUAGUCCUGCCAAGACCUCUGAAAGCUCUGAAUGAUACUAAAGCCCUUAUUCUGUUGCCUCUACUAAUCCAUUUUCCAAUAUUUUCCACCCUGUUCUUUUCCCCAGGAGGCAGAACCAUAUGAACUACGCUAACAUGACUCCUUUGCCUUAGGAUUUUAAUUGGGUUUGUCAAUGAAAGCACCAGCCAGAGUAAAACCAAGGAGCUGGUACCACAGAGAACUAAGGAAGGUGAUGGCAGAGUAAGAUUGGAGAUGGAAAGGAAAUAUGGAAUUGCUGGAACAUCUCAGAAGACUGGUUAAAAAGAAAAAAAAUGAGUCAAGAAUCAAAAAUAACUGUUCUGCCAUAACACCAAAAGAAUAUCAACAUAUACGGAAACUCUAAGAGGAAGAGCUGGCCUGAGUUCAAGAGAGACAGUAAUUCUGGAUGAAAGCCUCACCUCCUAGGAGAACAAAUACCCAUAAAGGUGUGCAUAAU